CCAAUAGCGUAUAUUAAAGUUGUUGCAGUUAAAAAGCUCGUAGUUGAACUUCGGGAUCAAGGAAUCGGUCAUGCCUUGGUAUGUACUGGUUUUAUUGGUUCUCACCUUCUAAAGAACCAUAAUGUCAUUCAUUUGAUGUUUUGGGGAAUUAGGACUGUUACCUUGAAAAAAUUAGAGUGUUUAAAGCAGGCUUACGCUUGAAUACAUUAGCAUGGAAUAAUGAAAUAGGACGUUGACCCUAUUUUGUUGGUUUCUAGGAUUGACGUAAUGAUUAAUAGGGAUAGUUGGGGGCAUUAGUAUUCAAUUGUCAGAGGUGAAAUUCUUGGAUUUAUUGAAGACUAACUACUGCGAAAGCAUUUGCCAAGGAUGUUUUCAUUAAUCAAGAACGAAAGUUAGGGGAUCGAAGACGAUCAGAUACCGUCGUAGUCUUAACCAUAAACUAUGCCGACUAGGGAUCGGACGAAGUUAAUUUUAUAAUGACGCGUUCGGCACCUUACG
rnacentral:rRNA from 1 species